AGUGAACGCUGGCGGUAGGCCUAACACAUGCAAGUCGAACGGCAGCACAGUAAGAGCUUGCUCUUACGGGUGGCGAGUGGCGGACGGGUGAGGAAUACAUCGGAAUCUACUUUUUCGUGGGGGAUAACGUAGGGAAACUUACGCUAAUACCGCAUACGACCUACGGGUGAAAGCAGGGGAUCUUCGGACCUUGCGCGAUUGAAUGAGCCGAUGUCGGAUUAGCUAGUUGGCGGGGUAAAGGCCCAACAAGGCGACGAUCCGUAGCUGGUCUGAGAGGAUGAUCAGACACACUGGAACUGAGACACGGUCCAGACUCCUACGGGAGGCAGCAGUGGGGAAUAUUGGACAAUGGGCGAAAGCCUGCUCCAGCCAUACCGCGUGAGUGAAGAAGGCCUUCGGGUUGUAAAGCCCUUUUGUUGGGAAAGAAAAGCAGCAGGUUAAUACCCCGCUGUUCUGACGGUACCCAAAGAAUAAGCACCGGCUAACUUCGUG
rnacentral:rRNA from 1 species